AUAACGAGAGAAAUCCAAUCCAAGUAAGAAAAGGACUUCCCAGCCAGAGAAACCAUGACUUUCUUUAAUCAUGGCGACCCCAAUAGUGGAGUCAAACAGUCUCCCACAGAUCACAGCUUAUAAGGCAAAAACAACAAAACCCCAACAAUCGCUCCAAACGCAAAACGGUGCCGAAAACCCCCCAAGUUCACAGCUUCGUCUUCAGUCUUCGUCAUCGGGUAAUUUGAUAUUCAACUUGGUAUCAAAGCAAAUUCGAUUCUGCCAAAUUUAAUCUGUUCUUGGUGGGUAUCAAUUUGUUCAUCCGUUUGUCCGCUGCGUAUCAGUUUGUCAUGACCAGUCACGCCUGCACGAACCCACCAUGCUUGCACCGCUCGAAUCUUGACCCGCAUCAGAUCUGCCACACCUGUUCAGUUAUACCAGACUCGCAUCACACCUUCUUGAAGCCGUACCGAAGCAAACUGCAACCCAGAUCCAUCCCGCCACCGCACACCUGUCUGCCCGCUGCUCUCGCCCACAUCAGACCUGCUACGCACCACCACCAUCCUCACGAUCUGCGUCUCUUGCUGCUGCAACCAAACCACCACCACUGCUGCCUGUUUCUUCUGUUGCUGCUAAUUUUUCUUGCUGCCAAGUUGCAUCUGCUGUGCCUUGUUGAUCUGACUAUUGCAUCUAGUGAUAAAUGCAGGAUCCGAAGAUGUCGCUGGCCGAUGAGUUUUCGACUCCUAAGCUGAAGAAAAAGAAACCCUCAACUAAGAAGGCCCCCUUGUUUUUGCAACAAGGGAAUGAUGUGAACGGGGCUUCUCCACCUCCGGUAAAAGCAGGGCAGAAAGGAACCAAAAGAAAAAAGAACGAAGUUUCUCCGUCCUUCCAGCAGCAGCCCGAGAGGUUGAACUCAGAUUCGUUGCCCAACUCCUCUCCAUCUGGAAGCGGGUACCGUGCACUGAGGCUCAAGUAUUUGCUGCUGGAGGAAGAGAGCUUUGCGUUGGGGAGAGAUCUAAGAGAGGUUGAAGAUGACGUCAAGACCCUUGAGGACGAGAAGCAUGCACUUUUGGACAAGCUUGUUGUGUUAGAAGGGCUCGUUGAUCCUUCGGAAUUGCAUUUAUCGUAGUUUAUCUCUCGAUAUAAUUACCGGUUUUUGUGGUUUAUUUGCACACUUGUAAAUGCAAUCCUGUAUGAUCUCAAAGAUUAAAGAGUGGUGUUAAAUGUUUAACUUCUUUGGCAUACUUUGAUGUUCGAAAAGAUGAAUGAUAUAUGUAUACAACUGCCUGCCGAUAUUUGUUUGGUGUUAA